UGAUUACAGGAUCAAAUCAACUGGCAAGCUCAUACAUUCGAAGGCGAGCUUUGGACCUGCACUGGAGUUAAGCAGAUCUCCCAGGCCUCGUGUUUUCUGUCAACAACAACCACAUUACAUAAUCAAGAAAUCGAAUAAUAAUUUCAUAUAACUAGACUAAGCAAUGCUUUAAGAUGUGAAAGGAGUUUUAUGCUAUGAUUUAGUAGUCGUCGAGAGUUAUAUUGCUCAUAGUUUUAGGCUCAAUGAACGGGUUUUUUCUACCCACGGGUUGGUGGGUAUGGGUGGGUAAAGAACAGACCCAUACCCACGUACCCAAUGGGUAAGAGUUUUCGCCCGUUAGUAGACCCAGGGUAUAAGAGUUAGAACACGAUUAGCUCCUAAUAGAGUAAAAACCCGUCGGGUCUCGGGUUAUGGGUACCCAUUGCCAUCUCUACUUCCUCCUAGCCACCACCACACCUUGUGCGUACUACUCAUGCGGCCCCCUUAAUUACUACACCAAUCUCCUUCUCUUUUGAGGCUAACAAGUGGGCACGAGCAUGUGCCACAUAAGUGAAAGCAGCGGAAAAUGAGGUCUAAAUUGUCAUGGGAUCCAACUUGCAUGGUUUUGUAUAGUUUGGGGUGAAGAUUUCUGGUAUUGAGUAUAUGGGAUGUAAAAUCAAACUCAACUAAAGUUGAGGAAGGGCGAGUGGACUUAAUCCCUCACACAAUAUUUUCAGAUAAAAAGUGAGACUUAAAUGUUUUCAUGGCCCAUGAUAUUUUUUAGUUUUUAUGGAGGGAAAAAUACAUCGAAGGUCCCUCAACUUGUCAUCGAGUUACAAAAUCGUCCUUGAACUGCAAAAACUGAUACAACGCAUCCCUCGACUUACAAAACUAGUGCAAACUAGGUCCCUCGGCAGUUUUGACUCCGGUUUUGUUCGACGUGGCAGCUAACUCAGCGUGGGACCCACGUGGGUCCCACAUGCCAGCCUCUUCUUCCUCUCCCCUCUCCACCUUUCUUCCUCUCUCUCUCCUCUUCUUUUCUUUCACUGGCAGCGUAGCCUGCGGGUAGGGAGGAGGCUGGUAGGGGAGGCGGGAGUCCGGCGGCGAGGCGGCAACAGCGGUGACAACGUGACGACGGGUGACGAGGCGGCGGCGAUGACGACGCGGGAGUAGGAGGGCCUCCCCCACGCCGCCGCCACUGCCAUCUCCGACGGCGCGGGCGCUAGAUCCCGCCGACAUGGACGGCCGCCAUGGCUCCUCGUUGAUGGCGCGGGUGAACAUGUCCUCCGCGCUGCGAGGUCACCGCGGGCGUGCCACAUAAACAGCCCAUACCUCCUCAUUGCCUCGCCGUCCACCGACUUCGCCGCCACCACCUGCUUGAGAGGAUGAGAGGUGGAAAUGGGAGGGGAAGAAGAGGCUGACAUGGUGAGUCCCACGCUAUGUCAACUGCCACGUUGGAUAAAACCGGAGUCAAACCGAGAGUCCUAGUUUGCACUGAUUUUAUAAGUUGAGGGAUGUCUUGUAUCCGGUUUUACGGUUUGAGGAUGAUUUUGUAAGUUAAGGAAUGCGUUGUAUUCGAUGACAAGUUGAGGGACCUUCGGUCUACUUUUUCCUUUCACGGACUCUCAAGGCUGGGCCUUUCUGGGCCUUCUGCUGUAGUAUUUGGUCCGUGGACCGACCGAAAGCUCGCUACCGAUUCCUGCGUGAUGUCGCUGCGCCGCCUGGCCGCGUCCGCCCUGCGCCGCGGCGGCGCCAACGACGGCGGCGUGCUGGCCGCCGUCCGCGCCGAGAUCGCUCAUGAGCUCUCCUCCUCCCCCUCCUCCUCUCCUCCGUCGCUCCAAUCCCAGGACAUUCCUGAUUUCUCCACCGUGUCGGACGCGCCGCGCGGGCAGGAGGUGCUCCUGCGCCGCCGGGAUGCUUCCGAGGAGGUCCUCGUGUCGGCGGUGCUCGCGCCGCUGCGGUUCGAAGGGGAGGAGCCCCUGCCCAGGGACGCGCUCAUGAAGGUGUUCGUCAGUAAGCCUGAUGUGAAGCCGGUGAUGCGGUUCGAUUGCCGCGCGUUUGCAGCUGAAGGUGAUGGCGGCUCUGCUGACUAUGAUGUUACUGCUGUUUGUUACCACCCGUUUGCUGGCGAGUGCGACGCUGGGGAAGACAAGUAUGAAGGGCCGGAGUUCAGGGGAGAGGCGCGGCGUCCAAUCCUUCUAUCGCAGUCUCUUCGCGCAUGUUGGGCGAAAAUAAUCCCGCUAGGCUCUUCUUUGCGCCCUCGUCUGCCGGCGAGUAGAUCUGUUCCGCCGGCCUUAUCUUCCCUGCAGCUGUUGGGAAAGCAGCCAUCGCUCCCCCAAGCUACCCCGCGUCGGCAUUUUUUCCAGAAGCGGCACGUGUUCCGGCAGCACCAGUCCCAUCUCCACCUAGCCAGGUGCGCUUCCCAAGCACCACCACCGCUUCGAUUCAGCCAGCCACCCGAUUCGCCUCCAAUCGGCCCUCUGCCCCGUCGCGUCUCGCAGCCGCCUUCCCCUAUGUCGGAUUGGUGCCACCCUGUCCCGGCCACCCAAGCCAUCUGGUAACAUGCAGGCAACAAAGGCCUGAUGCGACCAGCCAGCUUCCGCCGGAGAUGCCCAGUCACUGGACUUCAUCGAGCACGACUCGCCUGGAGUCGAUUUCUGUACAAAUUGCUCUUUGGGUGAUAAAGCGAAUUUCGUCCGUCGAAACUUUGCUCUUGCACAGUUGCAGUAUUGCUUAAACUUGCUCUAGAACCAAUAUUUUUUUUCCAUGUAAAAUACAGGAGAUCUUGCUAAUCAUCAAGUGAAACGUGGAUUCCCAGAGAUGUCGCCGUGCUAAUAAUCAAGUGAAAUAUGAUUUUGGGCCAAAUACUCAUAUGGCAGCUGAAGCCAAUGAAAGCAUUGUUCAAUGCUUCAACUGUAAGUUAUGAUGUCAAGGAGAUUGAACGUCCUGAAGAAAAAAUGGUGAAACGGAUGACGGGAUGCCACGCUCGGAGGGAGUACGUCACGUGCCACGGAGGAGGGCACAGUGCGCAACGCAUGUGAGGGGGGAAGAGAGGAACUACAAUUUUGUUGUUGGUAGUUUUCUAGCUGGCCCACUUUAUUUGUUUGGAGAGUUGAAUUUUGGGUAUCUCUUGGAGAUAAAGAUAUAUUCAUGCCUUAUAUCCUUUUUAGAGAUCUCAAAAUAAUAAUUUAGGGGAUUGAUUUGGGUGGCUGUUGGCCAUGCUCUUAAGCAUUACAUGUAUCCCUUGCUAUCUGGUUGAAUGGUGAGCAUUUUGUGUUUGCUGAGCUAUAAUGUUUACAUAUUUCUUUUUACUUAUGAAAGUUGACUGUAUCGUUGCUACUCUGAAGGGGCCUAUUUCUGUUCCCUUAAACAAUCAAAGAGCCUUUGAUUC